rnacentral:snRNA from 1 species
GUGCUUGCUUCGGCAGCACAUAUACAAAAAUUGAAAUGAUACAGAGAGGAUUAGCAUGGUUCCUGUGCAAGGAUGACACACAAAUUAGUGAAACAUUCUGUAUUUUU